UUUUCAGCCGACUACUUAAGCGUUGCAUCUGGGUAGAUGUUUCAAAAAAGAGCUGUGCUACUACUAUCAGCUCAAUGGCGUCCUCAUUCUGAGCAACUGAAGCUGUGGAUUAUCGGCUCAGCCAGCGACGUCACAACACUUUCCCUUGCUCGCGACUAUGUUAGCAACCUCGAUAUGGGGAGUGUUUUGCAGACGUUCGAAGACGGUUUGGAGCUCACUAGCAUUCUCCCCGCUAUCAAAUAUCCUCUCGGCACUCAUACUAUCUCAAAGCUCUCUGCUCACCUCGAAGCUUCUGCAGGCGAAGUUAGUGCGAAAGAGCUUCGCCAGCUUGCGUCGAACAUCAGUUUGUCACCGGAGAACUUGGAAUACUAUGAUGCAGCGCUGAGUACUCCCGGUGUCGUAGCAGCGAUCCGGUGCUGCUUACAGCUUGCAGACAACUCAGAGCUGGUUGCUUUUGCACGGCCGUUUUGGCGGGGAUGCGAGCGAGCACUGCAAGUGAGUAGAGGGCUAUCUUCUCAGGUUACGCAAAUCGCUGCCGACGAAUUGGCAUUUCGCCUUUCCACCUCUAACAACAAAGAAAUUUUCUUUGAUCUUACUCUGAUGGAGAGUUUACCGCUGGAGCAAAAGGAGAUGGAGGGAUUAGUAAAGCAGCUACAGUCUGCCACAGAGGAAUUGAAAGAGGCAGACCUUGUGGGUCUGCUGGAGAGAAUUGCCGCUCCAAGGAACUCCCAGCGUUACGCAGCAUGGGGUGCGGCUGUUCAGAAGGCACUUAUCGAGAAGGGUGGGGUAAGUGACUCGAAUUGUUUUGAUGUUUUUGUCAGGCUCAUGCUCACGGGAACAAUCAUCGAAGAUUCUAUCUGCCGCCAAAUAUGCCAAGCAAGUGGACACCUUGGCUCUGAGCGCAUCGUUGAAUUGCUGAAUGCGCGGAGAGAUUCGGAUUCAGCCUCAUGCUCAAGCUCUUCCUCUCUGCAAGACGUGGAGGCGGCACUGCAAAGAUGCAUACGCAUGCGGCUCGAGCAGUCUCAGCCUAAAACACCCACUGAAGAAUACUUGGAGUGGGUGCUGUGCCUGUCUUUUUUCUCACGGGAGGAGGCAUCGUUCUUGCUUAGCAGGGCGGUGGCAAGCGGCAGACUCGCCGGCGAGCUGUCUGCGAAAGAAACGGCCGUCGUGUGCAAUGUCAUGAUCAGCACCGGCGUCUUCUUAAUUUCGUUGCUGCCCGCUAUUCGUCGCAGCGUGGAAAGAAACGAACUCAGUCAGCUCACCAGUGUGCACGCACUGUACAUACUGCAACGAAGUGGAAUAAAGGCUUCCCCCGCUCUUCUCAAGAAAGCUAUUGGCCGAGCUGGGGCGCGUCUUGUAACCGCUUGCGCGCCAAAGGGCAACGUUGACGACGACCUCUCUCCCAGAGAUAGAGCACUACUGAUCGCUGGGCUCUGCUUUGUCGAAGAUGAACAGCAACCUGUUCUGCUGCGGCGAAUUGUCAAGUCUCAGGAGUUGUCUCUUUCUGCUGCAAUGUAUUUCCUUAGCCAUGCAGGUCAAACAACGAGUUCAAAUCGUUGGGUGAGAAAGGUCGUACUGGGCCGGGUACUGCGGUCUGUCAGCAGCUGCCGCGCAGAGGACCUCUGCUUGGUUCUCUCAGCCCUAUCUGAUCUUGGCGUUCGCGACGCUGUCGCGUUUCAACGUGUGCUCGAAGAACUGAAGCGAAAAACUCCUCGCACACAGGAUGUGGUGGUCGCAGCUAAAGCAGCGCGUAAUUUGAGGCUUACGCCUCUUCUUGAGCAAUCAGAGCUCAUUGAGAGCUUAGGCCACAUUGCAAACGUUUCGUCAGAUGACAUUUUAGCUCUGUUGAGUUGCAGCACCGCGAAGCAGCGAGAGUCUUUUUUGCUUUUCCCGGAUGUGGUUGCAGCUCUCAACCGAAUUUCACUUGCAGACAGUACGACUUCGGAUUUGGUACUGCUCUUCACUUUUUUGCCAUCACAGGGCAGCAAGAGAGCAGAGGUGGUUGCCGAGCUGCAAGCCCGAGAGCCUAUUGAGCGAGGUGCCCUCUCUGCUGACGAUGUCAUAGCAGCAUUCGAGUCUGUUGCCUCCAGUCAAGAGAUGGAGAGCCUUGGCAGGGUGCUCAUCCGUGCUGCUCAAAACUGCGAGGAAAGCCACUUGAUGCGACUGCUGCGGUGUGCUAGCAGGCAUUCCAAGGUCCCAAAAGGCUUCUUUCGGAUCGCAGGAAAGCCUAUUGUCUCGGCAGCGAAUGAGAAAAGGCUGUCACUUGUCAACGCGACUGCAUGGCUGAACUUUUACGUUGAUAAUCAGAUUCGCGAUGAUAGCGUUGGAAGGAGCCUACUCUCAUUGCUAUCGAGUUCACAAUUACGCUCUCCCUCGCCGUUCUAUCAAGCCUAUUGCCGAGGAGCGCGGUUUUACGGAGUCAGCGUGAAAAAGUCGCGAGCGAAGAAACGGCUCUCUGAUUUCUCUCUGCUGACCCCUUAGUAGGAUGCCGUGCGUGCAGCCCAAGUGGUGCUCGACUAUUUUCCUCUCUUUUCCCCCGGUCUCUCAGUUCGAUAGCAGGUUUCAUCACUUAUGCACCAGC
rnacentral:misc_RNA from 1 species